rnacentral:tRNA from 1 species
CAGAGAAUAGUUUAAUUAAAAUACCAGCUUUGGGAGUUGGAGAUAAAGGUUUAAUUCCUUUUUUUCUGA